rnacentral:rRNA from 1 species
AACGAACGCUGGCGGCAUGCCUAACACAUGCAAGUCGAACGAGACCUUCGGGUCUAGUGGCGCACGGGUGCGUAACGCGUGGGAACCUGCCCUUAGGUUCGGAAUAACUCCCCGAAAGGGGUGCUAAUACCGGAUAAUGUCUUCGGACCAAAGAUUUAUCGCCUUUGGAUGGGCCCGCGUUGGAUUAGCUAGUUGGUAGGGUAAAAGCUUACCAAGGCGACGAUCCAUAGCUGGUCUGAGAGGAUGAUCAGCCACACUGGGACUGAGACACGGCCCAGACUGCGACGGGAGGCAGCAGUGGGGAGUAUUAGAGAAGGGGCCAAGGAGUGAUCAAGCAAUGCCGCGUGAGUGAGGCAGGCCGUAGUGUUGUACAGCUCUUUUACCCGAGAUGAUAAUGACAGUAACGGGAGAAUAAGCACCGGCUAACUACGUG